AUACGUAGGGGGCGAGCGUUGUCCGGAAUGAUUGGGCGUAAAGGGCGCGUAGGCGGCCCGGUAAGUCUGGAGUGAAAGUCCUGUUUUUAAGAUGGGAAUUGCUUUGGAUACUGUCGGGCUUGAGUGCAGGAGAGGUAAUUGGAAUUCCCAGUGUAGCGGUGAAAUGCGUAGAGAUUGGGAGGAACACCAGUGGCGAAGGCGACUUACUGGACUGUAACUGACGCUGAGGCGCGAAAGUGUGGGGAGCAAACAGGAUUAGAUACCCUGGUAGUCCACACUGUAAACGAUGAAUGCUAGGUGUAGGGGGUAUCGACCCCUUCUGUGCCGCAGUCAACACAAUAAGCAUUCCGCCUGGGGAGUACGGCCGCAAGGUUGAAACUUAAAGGAAUUGACGGGG
rnacentral:rRNA from 1 species